UCACGCAUCGCGUCUCCCCCACAUCCACCCUUGGUGGAGGGGAAGGAGGAUGGUUUCCCGUGACUCACCGGUCGCGGCUGGCCUAAAAUUGGAGCCCUCGGCAUUGAGAUGUCGCGGCGAUAGGUGGUGAACAAGGCCUCGGCCAAGCAAGCAACCCGUCGCGCAUCGCCAUGCCAUUGUGUGCUCGGAGGACCCUUUGACGUUGCCUUACGGCAACAAAACCGUUGCGAC
rnacentral:rRNA from 1 species